UACGUAGGGCGCAAGCGUUAUCCGGAAUUAUUGGGCGUAAAGAGCUCGUAGGCGGUUUGUCGCGUCUGCCGUGAAAGUCCGGGGCUCAACUCCGGAUCUGCGGUGGGUACGGGCAGACUAGAGUGAUGUAGGGGAGACUGGAAUUCCUGGUGUAGCGGUGAAAUGCGCAGAUAUCAGGAGGAACACCGAUGGCGAAGGCAGGUCUCUGGGGCCACUACUGACGCUGAGAAGCGAAAGCAUGGGGGAGCGAACAGG
rnacentral:rRNA from 1 species